AAAUAGAAGUCAGGUAAAACUGAGCAGCUUCAGCUUUCUGAUUGACCACAGAGACAAAGAGUGGAAGGAGUGAAGAGAUAGAGGCAGUUCACUCUCCAUCAGGAUCAAAUUCAGAAUGAAUCUCCACCAUGUUCUGUUCUUCUGCUUCUUCUCAGCACUGUGUGGUGGAAACUCUGGGAUCAACAUUUAUACAGGACCUGAAGGAGGAAGUGGAACAAUUAAUUGCUACUUGACUCUGUCUGGAAACAGGAAGUUCUUCUGUAAGAAUGAAUGUAAAGGAGAAGAUGUUCUGAUUCAAACAGAUGAUGUCAGAGCUAACAGAGGCAGGUACAGCAUUGAAUAUAAAGGUGAAUCUUCUGGAAGAGGAAU